rnacentral:misc_RNA from 1 species
GUUCCCUUGGUGGAGGUGUGCUGUGCCUGUGGUUUUCUUGUGUGCAAUAUGUCUGGUCUUGGGUGACACACCAACUUAAGCAUAUAGACCAAUUCGAAAAGAAGCCGUAAUGGAUGAGGACGAAUAUAUCCGGAAGGAAAAGCGGCGUGAACAGAAAGCAAAAUGGGCCAAGAAGAAAAGAGAUGCACUGAGAAUUGUUUCUGUCCUAGAAGACGUGAGGAGAAGGCCACUCUGUGCUGAUGCCCCUGGAAACAGUGCUCCCGGCCCCUCAAUACCUGUCAAUGAUGUAUCCAGUCCAGUAAACCUUGAUUCAUGUGAUGGCACUUCUGAUGAAGAGGGCAGUACUGAUCAUGCCGUACAUGUGGAGGUCGAUGAAGAAACUGUGACCGAGGAUGAAUUAUUUGAGAGACAUUUGCAGGAAAUCUUUGGAGACUCUUCCCCUGGUCCAACAAACAGAGUUUAUAACGCUUCUGAAACAGGAAGUCCUGAUGGUAAUGCAUAUAACUACAGCAGCCCUUCUGAUGAAGAUGGUGAUAAUGAAGAGGGUGAUGAUGUCACUGCAAACCCUAACGGCAAUAUUCGCAGUUCCGCGAGCCCUAGUUACGACACUCCCAGUCCCGCGAGCCCUGGUUACGACACUCCCAGUCCCGCGAGCCCUGGUUACGACACUCCCGAUCCUGCGAGCCCUGGUUACGACACUCCCGGUCCCGCGAGCCCUGGUUACGACACUCCCGAUCCUGCGAGCCCUGGUUACGACACUCCCGGUCCCGCGAGCCCUGGUUACGACACUCCCGGUCCCGCGAGCCCUGGUUACGACACUCCCGGUCCCGCGAGCCCUGGUUACGACACUCCCGGUCCCGCGAGCCCUGGUUACGACACUCCCGGUCCCGCGAGCCCUGGUUACGACACUCCCGGUCCCGCGAGCCCUGGUUACAAUACACACGACAGCAGUUCUGAUGAAGAGGCUGAUGACAAUCGUGUUGUGUAUGUCAAGGAGGUUGAUGUUGAAGAAGCAGCGAAUGAGGCCGAGUUCUUCAAGAGGUCAUUGCGUGAAUUGUUUGGGAGAACAUCACUUUCACGGACUGAGCAGCAGUACCUACUUGGGCUUUUCAACCGUGCUGGUGUCCAGGGUUUGCCAAAGGAUCCGCGCACUCUACUUUGCACACCAGGCUCUGUUAACAUAAAUCCAUCCUACUUUGGUGUAGAGUACCACUGGUUUGGCAUUGAUGACCAGUUAACACGUGCUCUUGACUAUUUGGUUCGCCCACUUCGUCUUGAUGAAGAGAUCAAACUUAUGAUUGGUGUCGAUGGUGUACUGAUUUUUGAUUCGUCAGACGUUAACUCGUGGCCAGUACUGGUGUCUGUAGAGAAUGACCAGUCACUGAACAAAAUCUUUCCAUUAUGUGCAACAAUGGGUGGCAAGCCAAGCUGUGUGUCCUAUGUGAACCAGUGCGUCGAUGAGUUGUCUAGUCUACUCCGCGAUGGCUUCGUUUACAGGGGCAACCACCACCAAGUGUGUCUAAUGUGCAUAGUAUGCGAUGCACCAGCCCGGGCCUUCAUGAAAAGCAUCAUGGGACACAUGGCUGGUCAUUCUUGUGAGCGCUGCCGAGACAAAGCAAUCAAGGUGGAUGGUAGGAUGGUGUUCUACAGGACUGAGGAUUUUGACCUGCAAAGUGACGACACAUUCCGCAGGAAAGACUACACUGAACAUCAUAAUUCUCGCUGCAUCGACAGCCCAUGGCUGAACAUUCCAGGCUUUGACAUGAUACAUGGGUUUGCAUUGGAUUACAUGCACAUGGUCUGUCUUGGUGUGGUUAAGCGGCUAACAGAUUUCUGGAUGAACAGGCAAUUUAAUCGGACAGCCUUUCAUCUAGACCAGGUUGCAGUGGCUGACAUUAACAGGAAAUUAAUGAGGAUGAAGGUGACAAUGCCAUUCAACUUUGCCCGCAAACCAAGGUCAUUGGAAAAGAUCAGUAGAUAUAAGGCUACUGAAUACAGGACACUUCUGCUAUACACUGGCCCGGUUGCCUUCAAAGGUGUCCUGAGGCCUGCUUACUACAAUCAUUUUCUUCUCUUGUCAGUGGCCAUCGGUCUUUUAGUGAGUGAGAGGACAGCUCAUCUGCAGAUAGAUUAUGCGAGGGAGUUGUUAACUCUGUUUGUAAAGAAAGCUUUUAGGCUCUACGGCGAUAUUUUUGUUGUAUACAAUGUACACCAUCUCCUACAUUUGGCAGACGUCACUGAGAAGCAUGGUUGUUUGGAAAACUGUUCAGCUUUUAAGUUUGAAAACUUUCUCGGCCAGCUGAAAAAGAAGGUUAGGCCUGGUCACAAGCCUCUCGUGCAGCUGGCUAAGCGGCUCAGGGAAAACCCCAUCAGAUCAAAUACCUGGAAACAGGAAAAACUUUGCGUUACAGCCCCGAACAAUGUAUAUCUGACUGCUACUGGGGAAAUUAUUGAACUCGAGAAGGCUGAUGAUGGCACCUACGUCUACCGUCGAUACACACGGUUACGGCCUGCUGUCGCUGCCCCAGUGGACACCACCUUGGUGGGAUUCCUUGAGUGCCCCAAUGGGAACUUGUGCCUCUCAUUCCCAACAGACAUGGGUGACACCAAGAUAGUUGCUAAAGUAUGGAAGCACACAGUUCCUGGGGUCAACCGAGUGUUGUUUAUGGUUCUUAAUCACUGCUCUGCUUUCGCACAGAACACUUAGCUGGAUAUCGACUAGAUUGACUCUUGACCCCAACUGCCUUCAAUUCUUCAAAAUAUUCUCUUUGGUUUUGAGGCUGAAUGCAUAAACGUGGAGGAUCAAAUGAUAUACAGGCUGUAAUCCCGACAAGAGCUGGACGCUUGUCAAGUACCUGCGAGAUGCAACAUAUGACCUCAUCCCGUUCCGCUGGGUCCGAAAGAGGCA